GAACAGAUAGCUCAAUUGGUAGAGUGUCCAACUAGAGUUCGGAAGGUCCCGGGUUCGAUCCCCGGUCUGGCCG